rnacentral:tRNA from 3 species
CGGAGUGUGGCUCAGUCUGGUAGAGCACCUCGUUCGGGACGAGGGGGUCGCAGGUUCAAAUCCUGCCACUCCGACCA